AAGCCAGCACCCUGUUGUGUGGCCCCAGCAGCCAUAAUUUCAGGCACCCUGGAUCUGUCCGUGGUGCUGAAUUGUCCGUGGUACAAUUGUCCAAGCCUCACCUGGCGAGGACGAAGUCUGCAGAGUUUCAGUUUCUCCUGCAAGAAAGAAGCAAGAUGAGCCUCUUCAUAGAGGUUCCUGUUAAGUCUGGCUUUGUGGCAGCCUGUCUCCAACAAACAUACGAGGAAGUGAGAGAACAUUGAACUUGGAGCCACAAGAACCACUGCAUCUUGAACCACUUACUGCAUAUCCUCAUCAUGACAGUGUUUAGCAUGCAUUGUAUCUAAUCUAAGCUUCAUAACAACCCUGCAAAUAGGGAACUGCACCCCCAUUUUACACAUGAGGACAGACACACUGUUGGAAGGGGCAGAAGUAACAGAAUUGAAAACCAAGUUCUGUCUGUUUCCCAGCUUUGCCACCUACAAAUCAUGUAAACUU